rnacentral:rRNA from 1 species
AUUGAACGCUGGCGGCAGGCCUAACACAUGCAAGUCGAACGAGUGGCGGACGGGUGAGUAAUGUCUGGGAAACUGCCUGAUGGAGGGGGAUAACUACUGGAAACGGUAGCUAAUACCGCAUACCAUCAGAUCUGCCCAGAUGGGAUUAGCUAGUUGGUGGGGUAACGGCUCACAAAGGCGACGAUCCCUAGCUGGUCUGAGAGGAAGACCUGCCACACUGGAACUGAGACACGGUCCAGACUCCGACGGGAGGCAGCAGUGGGGAAUAUUGCACAAGGGGCGAAAGCCUGAUGCAGCCAUGCCGCGUGUAUGAAGAAUGCCUUCGGGUUGUAAAGUACUUUCAGCGGGGAGGCGUUACCCGCAGAAGAAGCACCGGCUAACUCCGUGCCAGCCGCCGCGGUAAUAC